rnacentral:rRNA from 1 species
GAUGAACGCUGGCGGCGUGCCUAAUACAUGCAAGUCGAGCGAACAGACGAGGAGCUUGCUCCUCUGACGUUAGCGGCGGACGGGUGAGUAACACGUGGAUAACCUACCUAUAAGACUGGGAUAACUUCGGGAAACCGGAGCUAAUACCGGAUAAUAUAUUGAACCGCAUGGUUCAAUAGUGAAAGACGGUUUUGCUGUCACUUAUAGAUGGAUCCGCGCCGCAUUAGCUAGUUGGUAAGGUAACGGCUUACCAAGGCGACGAUGCGUAGCCGACCUGAGAGGGUGACCGGCCACACUGGAACUGGGACCCGGCCCAGACUCCUACGGGGGGCACAAGUGGGGAUUCUUCCGAAAGGGGCGAAAGCCUGACGGAGCAACGCGGCGUGAGUGAUGAAGGUCUUCGGAUCGUAAAACUCUUUUAUUAGGGAAAAAAAAAUGUUUAAGUAAUUAGGCACGUCUUGACGGUCCCUAAUCAGAAAGCCACGGCUAACUACGGG